UACGUAGGCAGCAAGCGUUGUUCGGAAUUACUGGGCGGAAAGAGUGUGUAGGCGGUGCUCUAAGUUCGGUGUGAAAUCUCCCGGCUUAACUGGGAGGGUGCGCCGGAAACUGGAGUGCUUGAGCGCGGGAGAGGAAAGCGGAAUUCCUGGUGUAGCGGUGAAAUGCGUAGAUAUCAGGAGGAACACCUGUGGUGUAGACGGCUUUCUGGACCGUAGCUGACGCUGAGACACGAAAGCGUGGGUAGCAAACAGG
rnacentral:rRNA from 1 species